AACCUCUGUUCGGAAUAGUCCGCACUGCAAGGCUAUUCAAAUUCGCAACGUGUAAUGACGAACUACUGUCUCCGAGGCGUAUGUAGAUAUUCGGCCGGCGUAAUAAUACUUUUCGCCUCGAGAGGUGCCACGGUUGAAGCGUCAUCAGAAGGAACGAAUCAGCUAACUGCUAUGUCAGCUGAGAUGAGGAGUAAACGGAAGUAGCAUGGCUACCGAAGGAGCUGGUCGAUCAUCUUGUAGUACCGAGGAAGACGAAAUCUCGACCGAAAAUGUAAAAAAAAAAGACAUCUUCGAAACGCAAGUUGUGUUACAUGCAUAUAUCUUCGGUCAAGCAUGAAGAAACACAGAAUUUCACCAAUAUACGGUGGAAUACAUAUCGAAAUUUUCGGCAGCGGCUAGAAUUGAAGGGUGAGUGCAGAGUAGCAGAACAUUUUAAGCAAUGUAUUGAGUUGGAGUUUGACGAAAUUCCCGAGGAUGCGGCUCUCCAUCCCACAUGCUACCGGAGGUUUAUUGACAAGCGGGAAAUUGAACGAGUCACACGGCGUGUCUUGCGAGAGGCAGAGAGGGGAGAUGGCCAACAAGACCCCCGAACUAGCCAGGCUACCUCCGCUUUAUCGGCUGUGACCACCACUCCGACCAGGAAACUGCGAUCCAGAUCAAGCUUGGCCAUCACGAGCUCUGGCCCCGUUCUUCCUUCUGUCUGCAUGAUUUGCAAGAAAGAUAGCAAAUUUAUCGUCGCGAGUGGCAGACGUCAAAGAGAACGAAAACACAGACUUUAACCGCAGGCAAGUUGCAGGAAGCAGCUGAAGUAAAGGAAGCCAAGAGCAUCCUCAUUCACAUCAAGGACAGAGACUGUGUGGCUCUGGAGGUGCAGUACCACAGAAGUUGCUACAGAGAGUACACAAGGUUUUUGAGUGAGCCUGUCAGAGCAGAGAAAGAACAGAUUGGGCCAACAUUUGAUCUGAGCUACAAGUUAUUCUGCGAGAGGGUAAUCCGCUAAAGGCUACUGAUCAACCAAGAGGUGCUGAGGAUGAGCCAACUGAGGAAGGCCUUUAUUGCCCUUGUGCAGUCAAGUGAAGGUGUUGAUGCUUCAACCUACAGACAGGAUAUAUUGAAGAAGAGGCUCAGUCGUGAUUUUCCUCAGCUAAUGUUCCACACCCCCGCCAAACGCAACACAUCUGAACUGGUUUUUGCUGAGAACUUGUCGACGAAUGCAGUCUUGGACUUGUUACCAUCAGGUGCGGAGACGACUCAGUCCAGCGAAAUGAGCCAGACAGACAGCGACACAGAAAGGAGGAAGUCAAAGCAACCAACCACAGCAGAGGAGACACGGACACUUUACACAGCAGCUUUGCUUUUGAAGAGGCUGCUUAGUCACAGUCCUGGCAUGUCAUGCCCAUGGCCCCCAACUGCAGUAAACUUCAAUCUCACUGAAGUCAUUUGCUGUGGCAUGCGCAAAAGAUGUGUACCUGGAUGCUUUCACACAGUUCAUGAAAAUGCCGGUUCAUGUGUAUGCCACUUGUUUUGAUUUUUUUAUCUGUUGUAUAGUUAUUAGUGAAUAAAUGAAUACAUGAAUA